GGGCCUGUAGCACAGCGGUUAGUGCAGGGGACUCAUAAUCCCUUGGUCGUAGGUUCGAAUCCUACCGGGCCCACCA
rnacentral:tRNA from 1 species